CGCAUCGAUGCCUGCUUUUGUGUUAUUACGUAACAUGUAGAUGCUGUUUCCGAACGGAAAUGAGCUUUUCCGCCUAUAGCAGAGGAACAACGCCCAUAAUUCUUGGUUUCUUCCGUCAUUCUGACACAGCAACUUCAGUUUUUUCCUACCCAGCAGCCAGCAAAGCAUGGGAUAACGUUAACACUCAUUUUGGACAAACUCGGAGAAAUUCUUUGGGAUGAAAAGAGACUGAAAAACGAAUGACGUCAUUUGUGUAAGUUGAAUUUAGGAAGAAACAUGAAGAAAAUGAUGAAAUCAGGAAAGGUUUAAUUUGGAUUAGCAAAGAAAGAUUAACUGAUACGAUCAUUUGUUUCCUCCUUGUGUUAAUUUUAUAUAUGCUGAUAACAUCGACAAAGUUACAAUUUCCCUUUACUAUUUCAUGCUUUUUGCCUUCUUUCGUUUUAGGUGUUUAUGUAAGCCGCCAUACAUAUACAAUUAGCAAUCAGUUUCCGACAAGGACGGUUUUACUAGUAACACGUCAGUUUUAAAUUGUUUGUAAAUUUUUGGUCUUGCAGGGGAACGCUUCUCAGAAUUUCCGUAAGCUUAUUCCAUAAAUUUCGUGAGCUAUGCACGCUGACCAGCAACCGUUAGAGUACGUGCCGUUUGAAAUCAAUAUGCACCCAACGCAUUCAUCCCGAGAUAUUCGCAUCCGUGUAACAGGCGAUCUCCUUCGUUCGUUAGAUAAAACUCUUCAUCGAAAACUUAAGUAUUAAGGGAACUUAGGUGCAACUUUCGCUUUCUACAAACAAUGGCGAUAAAAAGCGAUGAAGCUGUAACAAAUCGCGAUGAGGUAAGAAGAAAGAGAAAUUGGGGACAGAUUUCCUUUCAGCUGGAACUUGGAGGAGACAACAAAUGUGCUUGCAAAAUGGCAACUAUUCUUGUGGAAAGAAGCGAAAAUUUGCAGCUAAAAAACGUGCGUGAUUAAAAAAGUCAUAGAGCAUUCUAAAUCGUCUGUCAACUUUCUAGCUGUUCCAUGAGUUGGCGAGAA